rnacentral:rRNA from 1 species
AAUGGCACUGCCCGGUAGCUAAAUGCGGAAGAGAUAAGUGCUGAAAGCAUCUAAGCACGAAACUUGCCCCGAGAUGAGUUCUCCCUGACUCCUUGAGAGUCCUGAAGGAACGUUGAAGACGACGACGUUGAUAGGCCGGGUGUGUAAGCGCAGCGAUGCGUUGAGCUAACCGGUACUAAUGAACCGUGAGGCUUAACCUUACAACGCCGAAGCUGUU